ensembl:lncRNA
ACGACAUAGUGAUCUGUUUAGCCUGAGGAUGUUUAUGCUUUUGGUGCCUACAGCAGGACUGAAGCUUCAUCUCCUCGGGCAUCCAGCUAGACAAACAGUCACUGAUACAUGGGUGUGAGGAAUGAAGUGGACUGACUGCCUGUGCCUAUCCUUGUUCUGUCCCUCCCUUCUCUGCAGAGUUCAGGGGCUGUGUUCCAGCUGCACGUCCAGUAGCUGAGGCCGUACUUACGGGGAGAGUGAGGCACUUACAGUUGGGCAGCUGAAACGCUUCUCAGUUGUGAGCCCCCUGGGAGCUGACUUUCUUCAGAGACCUCUCCUCCUUGUCCUCGAGCCAGAUGACAGAGGAGUAAGAUUUCUCAUCAUGUUCCAGCUCUCCCAGCCCUGGGAGAGAAGCAGAGAGAGAUGGUAAAAUGGAGCCAAGUAUCCCAGCAUGGUUCAGUCCCAGCGGAAAGGGAAGUUUGUUGUUCUUUUUGUCAUUUUUGCUUUUUUUUCUUCUUCAGACUGGGGGUAAACAGUGUUUUCAUUUUUUUUUCUUUGUGAUCAUCCCCAUUGCUUAUGUCUGAAAUAUAAUUCUGAGAGCACCGCUGUUGCGACAAGAGGGCAAAAAUAAGCAAAUUGUAUUUGCGGAUAAGAGGCAGCAAUAAAUCCCUGAAUUUCCAAAUGCAUAGAGGAGCAUUGACUUCUAAAUACCAGAAAUUCUAAGCCCUUACCUUGCUAAUUCAUGUGGCAUCUGGAGGGGCUGUGGAUUUUUAUUUCAUCCUGGUAUUUGUGGUAUUUCCUGCCAUUAGUAUAGGAAAAAACCUUCUGUGGUAAAUGCUGGCUUUUUCCUCCGUUGGUGGCAAACAUUGGAACUUGGGUUCAUGAAAGGCAAACCAGCAUUUUCAGUUCUGAAGGAUCUCAGAGGUGCCCGGGAAGGAAAAUCUCAUUGGGGUUGAAUGAGGAUUUUGGUUCUGUGGUUGGAUGCCAGCAGAACAGCUCUGAACAGACUCAAAUCUUGUCUUCAGAUCCGGGAGUUCGGCUUAAAAUACCUUGUGUGGUUUCAAAAGCUGUAGCUUGGAAAUAGAGGUUGAGAUAAAAUUAAUAUCCAUAUUUAAAAGUAAUCUGGUUGUAAAGGCUUCAGGUACGAGUGUUGGCCCAGAGUCAGUGCCCCAGCCUUCAAAAAUUGCUGGGUUUAUUGCAGAUUGAACUGUAGAUUGGGCUGCUUAGAUUUGUAAUGGAAAAAUAUCAGCCAACAUACUUUCCUCCCCUCCACCCUCCAUCAUCGGGGCAUAUAUCAAAUUGCACUAUCUGGCAGGGAGUUCCUAAUGUUAUUUGAGAAGAGAGAGGAAUGCAAGCGAUGUCAGCAGAAAACAGCUGAGUAGCAGUUAAAUUUCUUUGGCCUGAACCUGCUCCAUAGGGAAAGAGAAACGCAACAAAUGGACUUGGUUUGUGCUGGGGUGAAACAAAACAUCCUUUGCAAACAGGCAGUGUUUGUGAGAAACUCCUCUACAGAAGUUGGGGAUAUGGGGAUGCUGUUAGAGAGACAAGCUCUGCUCUGCUGUGAAUGUGUCAGGUCUUACCUGGUUGAGGUCAACAGGGCCAACAGUGCCUAUGAUCUCUCAGUGACAGCCCUGGAGCUUGCAGGGUGCUGGCUGUUCCCAUUCCUUUGUGUGGCUGGAACCAGUUAUGUUAUGCUUCGGGUUGCAUCUCCAUGGCUUAUUGAACUUUCUAUCUGUGCUUCCUUUAAAGAUAAAAGCCUCAAGAGUUGGCUCAAGUGAGCUUGCCCAGUGCUGCAAAAGAGCAGUGGAGGUGCAUGCAAGGAUACUGUUAACUGAGAAGUUGGGCCGAGUUAAAUGGUACCCUUAAUCCCCUUGAUGUCUGGCAGAGUCAAGUUAAAAGGUCUUCCCCACUUGGGGUGAAGGCUUUGCAUGUGUAGAUGCUGGUUCACUUAAGGGCAAUGCUGCCUCUGUGGUGAAAGAACCUUCUUCUCUGCUGGCGUUUGCUUCGUUGCUGAAGGAAGGAGAAACUUCUGCAGUGUCUUGUGUCAAGUGGGGGCCUGGGCUGAAGUUUUGUUCCAUGGAGGCUUUCAACAAACAGCAAGAGACAUGGCAGAGGGCUAGAAACAGGACAAACAGAUGAAAAUUAAAGUAAAUAUAGCCCUUGUUUUUCUUCUACAAUUACUUUUGUCUUCCUAUUCCAACUGGAUUUGCCAUGGUAUUUCCAUAGCAGAGAUCCACGUUUUUCUCCUUCACAGCUGUUGCAGGCAACAGGAGGUUGUGUUUCCCUAACACGGUUUCUUUUGGUAUUUGGGGUCUUCUUGGGGGGCCUUUCUUUCUUGACUGAUUUAGGGUUUUUUCCCUUGCUGAGUUCUUCAGUUAGUACUGUUUGUUGCCUCUGUACCAUCCUGGUGGGACAGCUUGGUCUCCUCCAGGAAGAGAACUCAGCUGUGGAAGGGAACAGAAAUUGGCUUCUAUGCUACCAUCUCCUGUUUUGUUGGAGGUCUGGGGAGAGAAGUGUAUGUGUGUACAUAAAACUACAUGCUUCAAAAAAAAUUGAGGUGUUUUUUAAAAGAUAGGAGUAGCUUUUCAUUCACAAUUGCACGCGUGACGUUGAUGUAUUGGAACAGGAUAUUCAAGAUCCUAAACAGAAUCCUACUUAGUGCUCUGAAUCUUUUGUCUCUGCAUUUCCUCUCUUCAACUCAGUUGUUGGUUCGGGAGUUACAUUUCCUGGUACAACCUUUUAAAGCACAUGUAUUUUAUUUGCAUGUAAAUUGGCAGAGGGAGGCAUCUUCCAUGUAAAUGCUGUGCUAAUCAUUACAGGUUCCAUGGUUCAUCAGGGCUUGGGUUCCUAAUUGGCUGCAGGAUUCCCAAAAGUGUCAAUAGUCUGAUUCAGAGCAAUAGGAAUUAUUGAAUCUACAUAAUAAAAGGAGUGUGAUGAAAGAUGCGGUAAGAAACUUACCUUCCAGGCCUGAAGAGAGGACAGGCUAUUCUGGGAUGGAGCCUCUUCCCAUUGCUUGGCUGCAUGAGGCUGUUAAAAGAAAAGAGAAAUUCAAAGGAGAUUUAGCAUCUUUUCUGCUAUUUCCUGUUGAACAUCAGCAGAGCGCGUUGACACCGGCAGAAGUAAUCUGACCUACGGGAACAUGCCUUGUGAGGCAGCGCCAGUGAGAGUUUGACCUCAGGCAUCCCGAUAGCGUGGUGUGUGUGCUGUGGCCGUGCUGGCUGACACCAUUUGUCCCCUGAGAGAUACAAGCCUGCAGCAGAUGUGAGGCUCAAUGUGUCAGCUCAACCUCAGGGGCAAGAAAAAGAGAAGUUGAAACUGGUUUCUUCCAUCUGAGAUGGCCACAGGCGAAGAGCAAACACACUUGGUCAAUUACCGUGGCUCAGAUGAUGCAUGGUAUUGCCAUUUUCAGGUCAAAUUUUAGAGUUAGUAGGAACUUUUCCAUGGGCUUUGUACAACAAUAUUCCACUGCGCACAGUGAGAAGUUUGAACACCCUUCGUUUCAGCGUCUAAUUUUGAGAUGAACUUGUAUCUUUCUUAAAAAAACAAAACAACAAGACCACCAAUAGCAAAAGAAAACCACCGGCCCCAAACUUUCACCUUUCUUCUCAGGUAAGACCUGUUUUCUUACUCCACUCUGUGGGAAAACUAAGAAUACGUUAGCUUAUUUCCAACUGUGAUUUGCUAAACUGAAGCUAAAGAUGGAAGAAUUCCAAACCUAGCAGUCUGGACCCUCUCAAACUAUGACUGGGGCCAGGGAAACAAGGUACCAGACAUCAAAACUUUGGAUGCUUUUUUUCUUUUCAUGUAGUAACUGAAACUCAGUUCAUCUUUCUCUGCUUCCACGUAAUACAAGGAAAGACAUUUGAUUAGAUUAUGUGAGAUACUUUUUAAGGCAGAUGGAUUCAACACAUGGCUGCAGGACCAGGCUUUAUUAUCUCGACUAACGUGGACACAUUUUGAACACUGCUUCUCACUCUGCCAUCAGCCGCCACCACCUCUGCAGUACUGUGACAGCAAGAGAAAAAGGACAGGGAAGUGAUAAAGUUUGCACACGUAAGCAGAAAAGAACUUUCUGUCCAAAGCCAGCUGGCUUGGCUUGGCACUGAAGUGGCAUUUUAGCACAAGAUGACACGUUUAUGCGUGUACUGGAGCUAUGUUUCAAAACACUUGCCCUAGAUGCCACAGGAAGGGUCUGUGAAAUAGUUUAUCACCAAGUAACCAUAGAGAGCAGGUGAGCUGUCUGAAUACCAGUUUGUCUUCUGAGCUGGCAGACAAAUGAAACCACAGGAAGGAAUCAAAGCAAAUAUGCUGCUGCUUUUAAUAAUUAGAAUUGAGCGUAUUUUCAGGGAAGUUUUGGGAAAGCAUGCGAUAAUCCUAUAUCACAGCCAAGAGGACAAUACGUCCAUUAAUAAAUGCCUGAUACCGUUUGCUCUGAUACAAAACUCAGAAAUGCACACCAGCCAAUCCAUGUUAACACAGGUCAUUUCUUUAAGUCUUGUUUUCCAAAUUAGAGCAAACCCGCCAGCAUAAGAUGAAUGGGCAUCUUGCCUUUACCUGAUAAAGUGCCUGAACGAUUAGGGAGGCUGAUGGCUUCUAUAAAUCCUGUGGGACACAGAUCAGUCAUCCCACGUGUAACCCCAAAGAAAUAACUGAAAAUAAAUCACAGCAACAUUUGUACUUUGGAGUCUGGAUACCAUCAUAAAAUGCCAAAAAUGCACCUUGUAUACUGCCCAAGUUUAAAGAUUAAACUUUAUUUCAGAAGUUAACUGCUAUAAAAGUUUCUUUGCUAUAUGUUGCACAUUAUAACAGAUCACGCAGACCUUUUGUGGGCUCUGUGUGUGAAGUUUACAAGACCAGGACAGUAGCAUAUGUCUCGUGUGCAAUUUGAUCAAUAGAGUUUACAGCAAAACAGAUCAAGUCUAGGAAAAAUAAUGCUUAGAUUUACAUGUUAAGAGCAGCACUUGCUGUCUGCAGUGGGAGCCAAGGAUGCUCUGAGCAAGACAGAAUUACCUGCCUUUCAAGAGUUCCACAAGUCAUUUGUCACGAGGUCCCACCAACUUCACAUCUACUUUAAAAAGCAGUUUGAAGACUUUUUAGGUAUUAUGGUCUCCUAUAUCUAUUUCUGUCUCUUUUGUUUCCUAACAGCAUGAGAUACUGACCACACAUACUGCAGUCAAAUAUAGAAAUUAAACCUACAGGAAAAAGGAUGUCUUCUCUUUAAUCUCUUGGAGAAUUUUCCAGACUAAAGCAUAGUUCUUAAAUUGAUAAUAUCCCUUUAAGAAUUUAUUUGCCAGGUAAUGUUAGAAGAAAAAAGAGAUUAGGGCUAGUUUGAACAUUAGAAAGGCCCUUUUUAAAAUCAAUUUCAAGUCUGUAUUAGAGAUGAGCGUUGUCUGAACAUGCUUCCAGCAGAUAAAAUAUAUUCUGCACCUUAGGAACGCAAAUAACUUGAAAAUCCUUGAGACUCCCAGCUCUUUGCAAAAAGGUCAAACUCUAUCCUAAGAAAUAUUUCAUUGCAUAGAAAUAAUGGUUUAGUGUUGCCGUAUAUGAAAGUCAGAAUCUGUAAGGCUACGAAGUUAAUAACAGAUCAAGGGCUGAAGUUUUUGAAUAAUGUAGUAAAUAUUUCUUAAAUGAGUGAAAUGAUACGAUACCACGGGAAGAGAGAAAUGCGUUUUAAUAAAGAAAAUAUUGAAUGUAAGAAUAUUUCUUUAGAUCUACCAUGCAAUCUGUGUGUUCUCUAUGAGAUGUCAAACUACACGGUGCAUAUGUACACUGCGCUCUCUAUAAAUAUACAUGUGCAUGACAUAUUUCUGAAGGCAGUAAAUGAAUGCUGGGGAAAUACGGCAACAAUGAAGUUCCUAAGAGAAGGUUAGUUUUUCAAGUUAUUAAAAGAAGGUGGCAAGCAUUCAUGAGGAUAUGAAAAUUUAAAGCUGUCUGCAGGAAACUCUGAAAACCUCUGGUUAAGGCUGCUGCCAAAAAAUCUCAGCUAUGUUAUGUCAGAAUAUUUAAUUGCAAGCUGCAAUUUUAAUGAAUGGAAAGAUAUGGCAAAAGGAGGAAGUUUUCUGCAGCAACACAGAACAGCCAUGAAAAUAAAAUGCCAAAGGUUGUAAUCUUGGACGCUGUAGGAAUCAGGAAUUUCCAUCCACGUUCUGACUCCUUUUCCUACUGUGAGAGUUUGCCAGCUGCCUGGCUGAAGGGAGGUAAGCUGUUCUGGAUAUCAUCUCCUGGGCUCAAGGCAGCACUUGUUAUGUCUAUGUGAAGAAGUCAACUUCUGUGCAUUUGUUGUUACGGAUGUUUACCGAAAUGCAGCUUAGGAAUAGGAGAGGAAAAGCAAAUGUCAGAGUGCAUUAAAUAACGUAUUUUCUUUACUUUCCAAGAAGCUUGCUAGCAGCAUGAUGUUACUAUUUAUAACAGAUCUCUUAAACCCAGCUGUUGGUUCAUGUUAACAUGGAGAAUGGUGAGAAAACCCCAGCAGAAGAGUGUGAAUCCCAGAGAGACUUGUCUUCUGUCAUUGUGAAGACCUAGAAAAUAUCCCAAGUUUUGCUGAGGUAUGGAUCAGUCAUGCAGCACACGAGGCGUGCCAUGCAAAUAUUUCCUGUGGUGAUCUCUGGCAUUACAAGGCCAGCAGCAACACAAAACAAGAAGUACCAAAUGCUGCAAGAAGCAGGUUCAGAUGGCACAGCCUGAGCCUGUGGCUGGAAAAGUCUGAAAGAGAGAAAGAGAACUUCUACCUGUAACUCAAAACUAGCAGAUAUACUGUACACCCACAUUACAGCAUUCUUAGACAAGCUGCAUCUGAUCUAAUCUUAUGUACCUUGGCCACAGGUUCUGGAAAAACAAAUAUUCCCAAGGCAAUCGGAUUACUGAAUGUACCAUAUAACGAUGUGGAAAUAUUAGUGGUUUACAGAAGGCAGUUUAUGAAGUGGAUUGAGUGAAUUUAAUUCAUGCACUGUCAGGCAAUUUGGACUUAGAUAUAAUCAUGUUAAGAUUUCCUUAUUUUAGCUGUCUUUGGUGGAGCACCAGAGCCAAAUAGUAGCGUAUGAGCAAUACUCCCAACUACAGACAGACAGGUCAUGGGCAUUUGAUCCAAGCCAGCUUUGAGCAAGUGCAAAUCUGUGUCUGCACUGGGGUGGAGUGGGGGGGGGGGUUAAUAGGGUUAUCCCAAGUAUUAGUGAAAAGGAACCAUUAUCUCCUCCUCUCUGGCUUCCUGAUCCGUAGGUAGGAGUCUCCCCUUCUCAUAUCCUUUGUUUCUCAUGAAAGUUCCCAUCCUGAAAUGCUACGAGUACAGUUUGGUUUUGUUGCAAUAAGUGGUCCUGUAAAAAAAAAAAUCUUCAUUCACAGAGUACUUCCACCACUGUAAGUGAAACAACGUUAGGAAUUAAUCUAGCCUGUGAUUUUUAAGAAACCGUGUUCUGAAAAGCUUGUUCUCAGACCCUUCUUCCCUGUGAAGGAUAACUUAAUUGUUUGACAAAUAAGCUAAAGCUACAUAACAUUCCCCACUCAUCCAGUUUUAAAAAAUCCUGCGUUGUUUUUUAAUGCAAAGUUCACCUUUAGAAGCAUGAGAUCUAAUAUUCUUUUUCUCUAGAAUAAAGACAAAAAAAGCUCUUUUCUGGAAUAUAAGAAAUAUUUGAAAAGGAAGAGUGGGGAGCAGCCACGGCACUUCACUCUGGAGUGCUUUGUGAGAAGGUCUGAGGAUGUAAGUUAAAAGAGCAGAUACGAUUUUGGUGCUGCUGUCUCUAAAACGCUUUGAGUGGGUGGGUGGAAAUGCACUGGAAUAGAAAUGCACAGAAAAGCCUUAUUGCUGGAUGGUAACUAAAGAGCCUCGCAGUUGAACAGUCAAGAUUACGACUACUGUUGUCUUUUUGAAAUCAUUUUUUCCUUAUUGUUUUCUUUAUUUUCUGUUUUCUGGGUUUCCUUUUCCUUGUAGGAUAUCAUGGAAAUUACACUGGCAUGUUGUUUGGCCAGGGAAAGAGAUUUCAGAUGGGGUUCUUCAGUAGUUGAUUUUUUACUUCUUAGGAAUGAUCCUGGCAGAUCCUUGUGAUAAUUUCUCUAUUGUCAUAUUGGCACACAAGCAUGAUAUUCUCUGGGGCUUUUUUAUGUUGCUGCUUCUUUGGCCAGAAAUUAAUUGGUCUUAUAAAGAUUUUUUUUUUUCCCUUCUUCUUUCUUUCUUUAUUUUCCCUGUAGCGUGGAUUUGCUUUAGUCACUGACAGCUUUGCAUCCUUUGGAUUAUCCAGGUGUAUUUUGCCUUUGCAGUUGCCCUGGAAAUGAAACCUAACCCAGAACAGGGCCAUCACGCCACAGAGUGAUUUCAGUCAUUUUAAUAUAGAAAUCCUUCCGUGGUUUUAUUUGUGCCCACCCUGAGGAGUGAUGUUUUUCAUUUGUGCUGUUCUGACAUGUGAGAACAUCUGUGACCUACCUCCCACCUAUUCUUUUUCACUCGCUGUCCCAAAGGGGGUUGCAGAAGCAGAAGUAGCAGCAAACCAUUGGGUAUGGAAAACAACAUCAGUAAUUUCAAUUGGAUGCCACAUCUUGCACUUCCUUUUCUCAAUUGUUACAUAGGCAGCAUUUCAAUUGAGAUGAAUAUGUUUUAGUGCUCUACUCUCCUUAACUAUUGUUUGCAAGGGACAUAUACAAAUCCCUUGAGCAACACAUGCUAUGCUUAUUUUUCUAGUGCCACUGAAACGGAGCAAUUAUUUAUCUCUUUGGCUUCCUGCUUUAUUUUUGCCAGCUUAGAAUAAUAUGAUUACAUAGUGAAAAUAAUCAAUGAGCAUAACCAGAAGUCCUUGCUCAGGGCUUGGUUAUUCAGGCUCCUACUGACUUUAGAACUUAAAGAAUUCGGGAUUUUAUCCAACGUCUUCUCAGCCUGUUAUGCUCAAGAGCUGAUUUCAUAGUAUUAAUUUUUAUAAGGGCUAUGGAUGAUAGAGUGAGGAACAAGAGCAUAAGCUACAUGCAUAUAAAAAUCAAUGCUCUUCGGACUGUUGGUGUUCAGAAAUGUAAGAAAGUGGUAUGUAUUUUCAUCUCUUAUUUAUUGCAGGUCAAUAGUAAUCAGCUUGGAAAUAUGACAGUGGGUGGCAGUGAUCUGUUUUGUGAUUACUUUCUCUCCCACACCUCCUGCUCGUUAUUUCCUAGAUCCAUGGAAGAACCUGCGUGCUGCUCUGAAGGAAAGGUGGAUGCCCUCACAUUAGGAGAUAGAUAAAUACUUUCCAAAUGAACUGUAUGGUACAGAUUUUGAUCUUCACAGCUGUGCGUUACUGCUUCCAGUUGAGCCCAAUAAUUGCAAACAGACAACAGAAAUUUGCGUUCAUUUUUCAGAACACAUUGGAGGCUCAACGUGUUCCCAUCCAGCGGUGCGCUGAGCACGACUGGAGGUGGUGGUGUGUCACUUUCUGACCAUUUGGGGACCUGACUGUUUGUAGCCCAUGGGUGAGUCUCUGUUUUCCAGUGGCUGCAGCUCUAAUUCUCACGUCCCAGAGCAGAGCUGGGCGCUGCUGCCCCACACAUACAGCUGCGGUGCUCAGCUCUGCAUUCUGCACUCUUUGCCACAUGCUGCCGGACAAGAGGCAGAGCACAAGUAACUUCUUUGGCAAGUAACUUUUUAGUGGGAGAAUUUUAUUCUGGGGUGCUCAGCUGCUGCCUUCUGUUGUGGGGGAGAGAUGCCAGUUUUGUAGUGGCUUUGGUUAGCAGUUGCUCUUUACUCUUUAAAGCAAAAGUAAUGGCAAAUAUGCCACGCUGAGCAGGGCGAAGGUGAGAACGUUGGGCCUUCGUGGGUUCCUCAGCCGAAGCUGUCCUUGAGGCAGCUCUGCGGGCCGCAGCCCCUCUUCCUGGGGCUGGACGGGGGCCUACAGGCCGUGACGAGGCGG